UCAUUUAAAACAAAGAAAUCACUUACUAGGAUGAUACGGAAAAGAUUAGCAUGGCCUCUGUGCAAGGACGACAUGCAAAUCGGUGAAGCGUUCCAUUUUGGU